rnacentral:tRNA from 1 species
GCCUCGUUAGCUCAGUUGGAUAGAGCAUCCGCCUUCUAAGCGGACGGUCAGGAGUUCGAAUCUCUUACGGGGUACCA